rnacentral:rRNA from 1 species
UACGUAGGGAGCAAGCGUUGUCCGGAAUCAUUGGGCGUAAAGCGCGCGUAGGCGGCCCGGUAAGUCCGUUGUGAAAGUCAAAGGCUCAACCUUUGAAAGCCGAUGGAUACUGCCGGGCUAGAGUCCGGAAGAGGCGAGUGGAAUUCCUGGUGUAGCGGUGGAAUGCGCAGAUAUCAGGAGGAACACCAAUAGCGAAGGCAGCUCGCUGGGACGGUACUGACGCUGAGGCGCGAAAGCGUGGGGAGCGAACAGG